UAGCUCAGUCAGUUGAGCGUGGCGCUAACAACGCUAAGGUUGCGAGUUCAAUUCCCGU
rnacentral:tRNA from 1 species